rnacentral:rRNA from 1 species
GAUGAACGCUAGCGGGAGGCCUAACACAUGCAAGCCGAGCGGUAUUGUUUCUUCGGAAAUGAGAGAGCGGCGUACGGGUGCGGAACACGUGUGCAACCUGCCUUUAUCUGGGGGAUAGCCUUUCGAAAGGAAGAUUAAUACUCCAUAAUAUAUUGAACGGCAUCGUUUGAUAUUGAAAGCUCCGGCGGAUAGAGAUGGGCACGCGCAAGAUUAGCUAGUUGGUGAGGUAACGGCUCACCAAGGCAAUGAUCUUUAGGGGGCCUGAGAGGGUGAUCCCCCACACUGGUACUGAGACACGGACCAGACUCCUACGGGGGGCCGCAGUUAGGAAUAUUGGUCAAUGGGUGCAAGCCUGAACCAGCCAUCCCGCGUGAAGGACGACUGCCCUAUGGGUUGUAAACUUCUUUUGUAUAGGGAUAAACCUACCCUCGUGAGGGUAGCUGAGGGUACUAUACGAAUCAGCACCGGCUAACUCCGUGCCAGCCGCCGCGGUAAUAC